UACGGAGGGGCUAGCGUUGUUCGGAAUUACUGGGGCGUAAAGCGCACGUAGGCGGCUUUACAAGUCAGAGGUGAAAGCCCGGAGCUCAACUCCGGAAUUGCCUUUGAGACUGUAUCGCUUGAACACGGGAGAGGUGAGUGGAAAUUCCGAGUGUAGAGGUGAAAAUUCGUAGAUAUCGGGAGGAACACCAGCGGCGAAGGCGGCCAUCUGGACAGAUAUUGACGCUGAGGUGCGAAAGCGAUGGGGAGCAAAGCGGGGAAUUAA
rnacentral:rRNA from 1 species